rnacentral:rRNA from 1 species
CAGGUAGGACUACCCGCUGAACUUAAGCAUAUCAAUAAGCG